UGGGGAAUAUUGCACAAUGGGCGCAAGCCUGAUGCAGCAACGCCGCGUGAGGGACGACGGCCUUCGGGUUGUAAACCUCUUUUAGUAGGGAAGAAGCGAAAGUGACGGUACCUGCAGAAAAAGCACCGGCUAACUACGUGCCAGCAGCCGCGGUAAUACGUAGGGUGCGAGCGUUGUCCGGAAUUAUUGGGCGUAAGAGCUCGUAGGCGGUCUGUCGCGUCUGCUGUGAAAAUCCCGAGGCUCAACCUCGGGCCCUGCAGUGGGUACGGGCAGACUAGAGUGCGGUAGGGGAGAAUGGAAUUCCUGGUGUAGCGGUGGAAUGCGCAGAUAUCAGGAGGAACACCGAUGGCGAAGGCAGUUCUCUGGGCCGUAACUGACGCUGAGGAGCGAAAGCGUGGGGAGCGAACAGGAUUAGAUACCCUGGUAGUCCACGCCGUAAACGUUGGGCGCUAGAUGUGGGGACCAUUCCACGGUUUCCGUGUCGCAGCUAACGCAUUAAGCGCCCCGCCUGGGGAGUACGGCCGCAAGGCUAAAACUCAAAGGAAUU
rnacentral:rRNA from 1 species